rnacentral:rRNA from 1 species
CCUACGGGGGGCAGCAGUGAGGAAUAUUGGUCAAUGGACGAGAGUCUGAACCAGCCAAGUAGCGUGAAGGAUGACUGCCCUAUGGGUUGUAAACUUCUUUUAUAUGGGAAUAAAACGUUCCACGUGUGGGAUUUUGUAUGUACCAUAUGAAUAAGGAUCGGCUAACUCCGUGCCAGCAGCCGCGGUAAUACGGAGGAUCCGAGCGUUAUCCGGCUUUAUUGGGUGUAAAGGGAGCGUAGGUGGAUUGUUAAGUCAGUUGUGAAAGUUUGCGGCUCAACCGUAAAAUUGCAGUUGAAACUGGCAGUCUUGAGUACAGUAGAGGUGGGCGGAAUUCGUGGUGUAGCGGUGAAAUGCUUAGAUAUCACGAAGAACUCCGAUUGCGAAGGCAGUUCACUGGACUGCAACUGACACUGAGGCUCGAAAGUGUGGGUAUCAAACAGGAUUAGAUACCCCUGUAGUC